rnacentral:rRNA from 1 species
GAUGAACGCUGGCGGCGUGCUUAACACAUGCAAGUCGAACGAUGAUGCCAGCUUUCUGGUGGAUUAGUAGCGAACGGGUGAGUAACACGCGGGCAACCUGCCCCCGCCUUCGGGAUAUCCGCGGGAAACCGUGGCUACUGCCGGAAAUGACUGCCUAUCCCACGUAAGUGGAUGGGAAGAUUUAUCGGAUGGGGAUGGGUUCGCGGGCUAUCAGCUUGUUGGUGGGGUGAUUGGCUACCAAGGCGACGAAGGGUAGGCGGCCUGGGCGGGUGGUCGGCGAGACUGGGCACGAGAGACGGGCGAGACGGCUACGGGAGGUAGGAGUGGGGGAUGUGGCACAAAGGGCGCAAGCCGGAAGCAGCGACUGCGGGUGAGGGAGGACGGCCUUCGGGUUGUAAGCCACUUUCAGUAGGGAAGAAAGCGUUCGGGUUGACGGUACCUGCAGAAGAAGCGCCGGCUAACUACGUG